AACGAACGCUGGCGGCAGGCCUAACACAUGCAAGUCGAGCGAGGACUUCGGUCCUAGCGGCGAACGGGUGAGUAACGCGUGGGAACGUGCCCUUUGCUACGGAAUAGCCCCGGGAAACUGGGAGUAAUACCGUAUGUGCUCGAGAGAGGAAAGAUUUAUCGGCAAAGGAUCGGCCCGCGUUGGAUUAGGUAGUUGGUGGGGUAAUGGCCUACCAAGCCGACGAUCCAUAGCUGGUUUGAGAGGAUGAUCAGCCACACUGGGACUGAGACACGGCCCAGACUCCUACGGGAGGCAGCAGUGGGGAAUCUUAGACAAUGGGCGCAAGCCUGAUCUAGCCAUGCCGCGUGAGCGAUGAAGGCCUUAGGGUUGUAAAGCUCUUUCAGGUGGGAAGAUAAUGACUGUACCACCAGAAGAAGCCCCGGCUAACUCCGUGCCAGCCGCCGCCGUAA
rnacentral:rRNA from 1 species